AUUGAACGCUGGCGGCAGGCCUAACACAUGCAAGUCGAACGAGUGGCGGACGGGUGAGAAAUAUCUAGGAAACUGCAUGCUGGAGGAGGAUAACUACUGGAAACGGUUGCUAAUACAGCCUACCAUAUGAUGUGCCAAGAUGGUAUUAGCUUGUUGGUGGGGUAACGUAUCAGGAAGGCGACGCUCCCUAGAUGGUCUGAGAGGAUGACCCGCCACACGGGUACGAGGACACGGUCCAGACUCCGACGGGAGGCAGCAGUGGAGAAUAUUGCACAAUGGGCACAAGCCUAAUGCGGCCAUGGCGCGUGUAUGUAGAAGGCCUUCGGGUUGUAAAGUACUUGCAGCGGGGAGGCGUUACCCGCAGAAGAAGCACCGGCUAACUCCGUGCCAGCCGCCGCGGUAAUAC
rnacentral:rRNA from 1 species